GUGUAAUGAUGAUCUGGGUACUAAUUGCAUUCAAAAAUAUUCGUAAAAUUUCCACUCCUUUUUAGCUCCUUUCCACUCUUUUUUAGUCUGUCAUGAAGCAGCACAGCCAGACAUUCUACCACCUUGAAACAAACAGCCAACUCAGAGAAAGCAGAUACGGAAGACAAAACUGCUGGCUAGUACAGAAAACACAGCAGCAGAAAAACAAGCUGCUGGUGCUGUCUUCAGCCUGAGAAGAAUGUUCACAGGACUCAUUCAAGGUCAUACAGUUGUCGAAUAUCAUCAUUAACUUUCCCGGCCUAUUUUCCCAUGGACUCAUCGGGCUGAAUGGCCUGUUUCCACACCAUAGGGUUUCAAUGGAUUUCCCCUUUACCUGAAGACGCCGAAUAGUAUAAGAUAUAGACCCAGGGGCAUUACUUGUUUGCCCAAGUGAUAUGUAUAGUGUGAGAACCAGAAUGGUUCCAAGACUAAGAGCUUCUCAUUAAUAAAAUGGGUAUUUAAACUUUA